GCUGAGAUUCUGCAGGGAACAUUCAUCAGUGUCCUUCAGAAGCCUCCGCCUGGGACACUCCAGCCUCGGAGGACAGGAAGAAGGAGCACAUACAGCAAAAUAGAAUGAGCUGGAACAAUGUGUGAGGUCGGCGGGGAUGCGCGAGCAAGUGCACUCUGUACCCUGGAGGCCGAGUGAAAAGAGACAAAAUGUUUUAAGAAAGAGUGACCAUUUGUGUCCAGUGCUGGCAUUUGGAACGAUAAGGACAGAGAACCAACAAUUGAAGUGGACAAUGCGAAGCCAGUUUCCUUGGAAUGCUGGAGACAAAGCCGUUCUGAAGAGAAUGGAAGGGAAGAGAGUCAAGCCCUUUGGGGAGUUUCGCCCCACAGAUGGGAAAUGCUGCAACAUUAUAUGCCAGUAGGAAGUCCAGUGGAAGGGGCAGGCGAGGGUCAUUUGGACCAGAAGGCGUAACCAUGGCAGCGAAGUCCCCAUGUGCAGGAAGCUCUAUGCUCAUUGUGGGGCUGGAAAUCAGGACCUCAAGUUCAACAGUCUCCCGCCGGACCGACUGAGCCAGCCAGAUGCCCCAUACCGCCAUUUUAAAAUAAAGCCAUUAGCAUUACUCAAAGUCAAUGGAAUAUAAACACUCUGCAUGUAAAGGCAUCAACAGAUAAGAGUUUAAC